rnacentral:rRNA from 1 species
GAACACGUGAAGAAUCUGCCCUCCACUUUGGGAUAACACCGGGAAACCGGUGCUAAUACCGAAUAUUGAAACAUAAGUGGCAUCACUGAGUUUUGAAAGAAUUUCGGUGGAGGAUGACUUCGCGGCCUAUCAGCUAGUUGGUGAGGUAAUGGCUCACCAAGGCAACGACGGGUAGCCGGCCUGAGAGGGCGACCGGCCACACUGGGACUGAGACACGGCCCAGACUCCUACGGGAGGCAGCAGUGGGGAAUAUUGGGCAAUGGAGGAAACUCUGACCCAGCGACGCCGCGUGCGGGAUGAAGGCCUUCGGGUUGUAAACCGCUUUCAGUAGGGAAGAAGCGAAAGUGACGGUACCUACAAAAGAAGCACCGGCUAACUAUGUGCCAGCAGCCGCGGUAAUACAUAGGGUGCAAGCGUUGUCCGGAAUUAUUGGGCGUAAAGAGCUCGUAGGUCGUUUGUUACGUCGGAUGUGAAAACCUGAGGCUCAACCUCAGGCCUGCAUUCGAUACGGGCAAACUAGAGUUUGGUAGGGGAGACUGGAAUUCCUGGUGUAGCGGUGGAAUGCGCAGAUAUCAGGAGGAACACCAAUGGCGAAGGCAGGUCUCUGGGCCAAUACUGACACUGAGGAGCGAAAGUCUGGGGAGCGAACAGGAUUAGAUACCCUGGUAGUCCAGACCGUAAACGGUGGGCACUAGUUGUGGGAACCUUCCACGGUUUCUGCGACGCAGCU